rnacentral:rRNA from 1 species
GACGAACGCUGGCGGCGUGCCUAAUACAUGCGAGUUGAGCGCUGAAGGUUGGUACUUGUACCAACUGGAUGAGCAGCGAACGGGUGAGUAACGCGUGGGGAAUCUGCCUUUGAGCGGGGGACAACAUUUGGAAACGAAUGCUAAUACCGCAUAAAAACUUUAAACACAAGUUUUAAGUUUGAAAGAUGCAAUUGCAUCACUCAAAGAUGAUCCCGCGUUGUAUUAGCUAGUUGGUGAGGUAAAGGCUCACCAAGGCGAUGAUACAUAGCCGACCUGAGAGGGUGAUCGGCCACAUUGGGACUGGGACACGGCCCAAACUCCUACGGGAGGCAGCAGGAGGGAAUCUUCGGCAAUGGACGAAAGUCUGACCGAGCAACGCCGCGUGAGUGAAGAAGGUUUUCGGAUCGUAAAACUCUGUUGGUAGAGAAGAACGUUGGUGAGAGUGGAAAGCUCAUCAAGUGACGGUAACUACCCAGAAAGGGACGGCUAACUACGUG